CCAAAAUGCUAACAUUCUCUUUCUUCUGAAGACUUUUAAGGCAAAGUCUGGUGGGUGUUAAGUACAGACCUGCUCACAGGCACAGGCAUAGGCACCUGGAAUCCCUGGCAGCCAGAGGAAUCUGAAUCCAGUGUUUUCAAGGUGGAGCCGCCCCCACCCAGGCCUUGAGUCAGAAACCUGACUUCCUUCCAUUGAUGUUUUUCUCUGCUCUGCUCGGUACCUCACCCCCAUCAGUGACAGCCUUCAGCACUUGGUGUCCCUCUAUGCACACCUUCUCCCUAGCUCUGCCUCACUCUGGCUGUUUGCAGGGGGAGGGACGUCCCCUCCAGCCCCUGGCAGCCCUCCGUGUCUCCCUCUUUGGCUGUGGGUGUCUGCUUGGGUCCCUCUGUCCCUGCCUGUUCCCUGUGCCCCAUCUGUCAGGUUGGAGGAGCUGAGCAGAUGCCUGGGAACAGGGCGUAACAUGCCCGUACCUUCCACUGCCUCUGUGUUCCUUUUGAGGGGUUCCCAGCAGGGUACCCCGUCAUGGGAAGGGGUGCACAUCCCUGUACACCAGGAGCCCACUCUGCACUCUCAGUCCCAGGCUGCAUCUCUGCAGCCCCCAAUUUCAUGGUCCCAGUUCUGGCUCACCCUCAAAUACCACCAGGUUAGGUUGACAGCUUCCUGGAGAGCACCUGCAGUGUGAGGGUCACCCCUUGAACAGCCAGUAAGCAAAGCAGGGUCACUUGCUUAUGUUCCUCUCUGGCGCCCUCUUCUGGCCCAAGGAUCAAAUGGUGCAACUCCCUUAACCUGUGUCUGAGCUCUGUGUCCAGAACCCUGAGGGGUUCUCUCUCCCAUCUGACCCUGUGACUCACCCCCACCUCCAGUGCCGGUAGAGGUCUUGGUGGUUGAGUGUACCAAGAUGAUCACAUUUAAUUCUCACAACAAAUUUCUAAGAUGAGCACUAUUGGCCCAUUUUACAAGUAAAGAAACAGACCCAGAAAAGUUAAUUACCCAAGGUCACACAGUGAGCAUCUAAGG
rnacentral:lncRNA from 1 species